rnacentral:rRNA from 1 species
CAGCCCGAGAGGGUGCCCCCCGCGACUCUAAAGAACCGAGGGGGCCUAACUGCUAGUCCGCGGCCCGCCGCGGGCGACGCUACCCAAUUGCGGGGAACCCCUAAAGAUCUCGACACCAAGCGCCCUCUGGAAACGGGGGGCGUGGCCGGGCUAGCAACCCAGGGUAUGGUAACAGCUCGAGAUAUGAAGCCCCGUCUCCCGGGGCCGAAAUGGGCAACCUGCAGCCAAGUCCUUCGUCGGGCGGCCAUGCCGCACUCGACAUGGAUGCUGUUCACAGGCCAAAUGGUAGCGGGUGGACGCCUUCGGGCGCCCGCUCAAGAUAUGGUCGGGCACGCGCAGAAAUGCGCCUGCGAGUCGCAAAGCUACGCCGGGGCCGGGAUCGGGCUCGGUAGUAACUAUGACAUUUUCAGAUAGGGGGUCUCACGUGACCACCCGAGUCUUGGCAGCGUUCCGUAGGUGAACCUGCGGAAGGAUCAUUAAUGAUGGGUUGCCCCGGUGUCGCCUGGCGGCGCCGGGUGCAUCCACUCACCACCCCUUGCCAUAUCGUCGCGCCGAACCCGCCGUGUGCCUACAGCGCCGGCGGAUCGUGUCGCUCCUAUUUCGGUCGUCACUGCCCGGUGCCGCGCUCCCGUCUGCCCAGUUGAUCGCGGGCUGAUGGGGGUUGGCAUCGACGGCGGUGCGGCCGCCAGCAAAGCCCUGCACGCCUGGCGUGCGCAAGCAUGAAGUCUGAGAGCUGGUUCUGAACCACAUUACAACUUUCAACAACGGAUCUCUUGGCUCUGGCAACGAUGAAGAACGCAGCGAAAUGCGAUAAGUAAUGCGAAUUGCAGAAUCCGUGAGUCAUCGAAUCUUUGAACGCACAUUGCGCCCCCCGGUAUUCCGAGGGGCACGCCUGUCCGAGCGCCAUCACACCCCCCACGCAACGCGUGAUGUUGGGCGAUGCGGGAGACCGCACGCCUGGAACUCAUAGGCGGCCGCCUCGGCCCUGCGAGCGUAGCAAGACGGAUCCCCCUGGGGAACCCAGCGCGCGCAGGCCGCGGGCGGCUCAGCCCCCAGCUAUGGCGUACGCGCCCAUCAGUUUUGGCCUCGGAUCAGGCGGGGAUACCCGCUGAACUUAAGCAUAUCAAUAAGCGGAGGAAAAGAAACCAACAGGGAUUGCCCCAGUAACGGCGAGUGAAGCGGCAACAGCUCAAAUUUGAAAUCUGGCGCCUUCAGCGUCCGAGUUGUACUUUGCAGAGGGUGGUCCAGACAACGGGCCGGUCCAAGUUCCUUGGAACAGGAUACCGCAGAGGGUGAGAGUCCCGUAUCCGACCGGUGCCAGCGUCGCUGUGAUCGCCCCUCGACGAGUCGAGUUGUUUGGGAAUGCAGCUCUAAGUGGGUGGUAAAUUCCAUCUAAGGCUAAAUACCGGCCAGAGACCGAUAGCGAACAAGUAGAGUGAUCGAAAGAUGAAAAGCACUUUGAAAAGAGAGUCAAACAGUACGUGAAAUUGUUGAAAGGGAAGCGUAUGCGACCAGACUUGACCGCGGUGGCACUCCGCCCGCCUUCUGGCGGGUGUACUCCGCCGCGGCCAGGCCAGCAUCGGCCCUGGCGGCGGGACAAAGGCGGCGGGAACGUGGCCCCCCUCGGGGGGUGUUAUAGCCCGCCGUGUAAUGCCGCCAGCCGGGGCCGAGGACCGCGC